AAGUCGUAACAAGGUUUCCGUAGGUGAACCUGCGGAAGGAUCAUUAUUGAAUAAACCUGAUGUGGUUGUAGCUGGCUCUCUUGAGAGUAAGUGCUCGCCCGUCAUCUUUGUCUUUCCACCUGUGCACUUCUUGUAGAUUUGGAUGUAACUGUCCGAGGCAACUCGGUUGGGAGGAAUGUCCUUCGUGGCUUUCCUUGUAUGUCCAAGUCUAUGUUUUCAUAUACUCCAAAGAAUGUAACAGAAUGUAUCACUAGGCCUUGUGCCUAUAAACUAAAUACAACUUUCAGCAACGGAUCUCUUGGCUCUCGCAUCGAUGAAGAACGCAGCGAAAUGCGAUAAGUAAUGUGAAUUGCAGAAUUCAGUGAAUCAUCGAAUCUUUGAACGCACCUUGCGCCCCUUGGUAUUCCGAGGGGCAUGCCUGUUUGAGUGUCAUUAAAUUCUCAACCUUACUAGCUUUUGCUAUGUAAUGNCUUGGAUAUGGGGGUCUUUUGCUGGUUUCGAAAGGAAUCUGCUCCCCUUAAAUGCAUUAGCCGGUGCCCCGCGUGGACCGUCUAUUGNUGUGAUAACUAUCUACGCCGUUAGACGUCUGCUUUAAAUGGGUUGUGCUGCUUCUAAUCGUCCUCUUAGGACAAUUAUUGACCAUUUGACCUCAAAUCAGGUAGGACUACCCGCUGAACUUAAGCAUAUCANUAAGCGGAGGAAAAGAAACUAACCAGGAUUCCCCUAGUAACUGCGAGUGAAGCGGGAAAAGCUCAAAUUUAAAAGCUGGCGGUCUUUGGCCGUCCGCGUUGUAAUCUAGAGAAGUGUUACCCGCGUUGGACCGUGUACAAGUCUCCUGGAAUGGAGCGUCAUAGAGGGUGACAAUCCCGUCUUUGACACGGACUCCCAAGGCUUUGUGGUGCGCUCUCAAAGAGUCGAGUUGUUUGGGAAUGCAGCUCAAAAUGGGUGGUAAAUUCCAUCUAAAGCUAAAUAUUGGCGAGAGACCGAUAGCGAACAAGUACCGUGAGGGAAAGAUGAAAAGAACUUUGGAAAGAGAGUUAAACAGUACGUGAAAUUGCUGAAAGGGAAACGCUUGAAGUCAGUCGCGUCGUCCGGAGAUCAACCUUGCUUUUGCUGGGCGGUACUCUCCGGUUGACGGGCCAGCAUCAGUUUUAGUCGCUGGAAAAGGGCGGAGGGAAUGUGGCAUCUUCGGAUGUGUUAUAGCCCUUCGUCGUAUACAGUGGUUGGGACUGAGGAACUCAGCACGCCGCAAGGCCGGGAUUUAUCCACGUUCGUGCUUAGGAUGCUGGCAUAAUGGCUUUAAUCGACC
rnacentral:rRNA from 1 species